rnacentral:rRNA from 1 species
GACGUAGGGCGCGAGCGUUGUCCGGAUUUAUUGGGCGUAAAGAGCUCGUAGGCGGCCUGUCGCGUCGAAUGUGAAAUUUUAGGGCUCAACCCUGACAUUGCAUUCGAUACGGGCAGGCUUGAGUUCGGUAGGGGAGCACGGAAUUCCUGGUGUAGCGGUGAAAUGCGCAGAUAUCAGGAGGAACACCGGUGGCGAAGGCGGUGCUCUGGGCCGAAACUGACGCUGAGGAGCGAAAGCGUGGGUAGCAAACAGG